AGCGGCGACGGCGACCAUGGAUAGGAGCAUGCUCGACGACCUGGAUGGCCUCCCCGAGGAGGACAAGAUGCGGAUGGCUGCCAUGAUCGACCAGCUCUAGAUCCGCGACAGGUUCGUGCCAUACCAACUCGAGCCCUCGCGCUUGCCCCCUACGCCACCUACUUGAGCCCUCGUGCUAGCCCCCUACGCCACCUAGCCGUUCGCCGAGCGUCGAGUCCUCCCAGCCGCCUCCCGCUCGUCGCGAACUGCAGGCCUCGGUCAUCCGGCGGUGUUCUUCCGACCUUUCGUACUGUCGCUCAUGAAUCACGUUCUGUCAUGAAUUUGUAUGCAGUAGCUAGAACUAGAAUGCCUGCGAAUUAGUCUGCCUUCUGUUUUUAUUCAUCGGAGCCAGGUUACGAUAUGGUGGUAGUAGCUGUGAUGAGCACUGCUUUCUUCUGACACCUCUUGUAUGAGCAGAGACUUCGUUCCCUCCGUUGAGCAGAUUCAACAACUCUUUGAGCUCCUCCCUCGCUUUUUUUCUGAGCUAACCUGGCCAUUUGCUCCGGAAUUUAGCAUUUUAUUAUGAGUUUGUGAGAUCGUAGUUCUUUACUUUUUCUUAGAUGACGUCGACUGUGUUGUGACGAGCUACUCCUUAUUUCUGACACCUUGUGUGAGCCUUGAGCAGACUAGCAACUCUCUGGAUCAUUAAUUUCGUUUGCUAUUCUUGAUAUUCCCUUUGUUUAAUUAGUGAAUUUGCAUCAGAGGAUGAAAGCUUGAAACAAUCUUAGGACACCUUCUGACACAGCUCAUCACAUCACGCUGUGAAUGAGAAGGCAAUUCUUGUCUUUCUUUCUUUUUCACUGGACAGACAUUUUAUCAGUAGCAAUAAGAUCCGAUUGAUGCUGCAUCAAAAGCUUGUCAUACAGACAUGAUAUUAUUGAAAAAAACAUCUGUCUUACAUAUGCAUUGCAGGUAACGUUUUCCCGCCUAAAGCUAUUGUAUUAUUUCUUAUAAAUUCCGACUUCAUUUGCUUGCAUUUACCACCGGAGAUGCACUUGUGAUCAAUUCAUUUUUCAUUGAAUUUUCCUUUUUUAUACAUUUAGUUUUCGUAGUAAGCUGCAGUUUUCAUACUACUCAAUGAAUAUCCCUUCUGAUUUACAAAGCAGCCUAAUUAUGUGCACGUGUUAAAAGAACUAAUUUCUGGUUAAUUCCGACUUCAUUUGCUUGCAUAUACCAGCUGCUUAGUUUAUUCAUUCCAAACAGCACAAGUGGCCCUGGAUUUGAAUAAAUGUGGGGCUGCUAAAGAAACAGACCUUGUUUGAUGUUGGUGGAGGUUAAUUUUAACAAUAUGGCACUAGGCACUUCGGCAAACUCUGGUCUGUUUCAUCACAUACUGAAUGAACUUCGAGUCUCUCUUGUCAUUAAGUGUUUAUAUUUAGAGCUCUAUUAUUUUAAGGAUUUCUCACCUAUUCAAACUCACUGUUCUAGGGUUAUUCCUCCUUGUUGAUAGCAAUGUGUUCUUGUGACGACGAAGAGGCACUUUCCAAAUGUAUGAACCUAGGUGCAUGCUUCCAUGUGAUGAAGCCACUAGACAGAAGAAGCUUCAGUAUUCUGUGGCACCAAUCACCGUAACACAAGUCUAAAAAGGCAGCACCUCAAGGAUCGAGUCUCAAUAAUAGUACCAAAAAUAGAAUGGUUUCACCAUCUACUGAAAAGCCUAAGGAAGUGCUUAUUCUAGAGACAAACAGUUAUAUGUUCCUGAAAGAAAUGGACGGCAAGAAAGGAUCUAUGGAACGAGUUCACGACGUCAGACUUAGCGAGAACGAUGCAGGUUAAGGGGUGGGUAUGUGUUGUUUCAGCUGAGUUAAUUGGGGACUGGUUGUAGGCGGAGAUGUUGGUGCUCUUCUAAUCCCCCACGAGGUUCGCCCUAUUCAAGGUGCUCCAUGAGGGGAAGCUCGACAAGGUCGAGGAUAUAUGGAAGGAGUUUACGGCGUUGGACACGACGAGAAAGGUGGUUGAGCUAGGCUUUCAACAAGUUUGAGAACACAUCUGACACCCUAUCGGCCAGAGGUAACCCUGAUUAUUGAUAGCAAGCCUACCAAGGAUUUGCACAAGCUCUUGUAGAAACAUUGUGACUUGUGAGGGUGAAACAUUAGCAGUAGCCGAAAAUGGUUCAGUUCUGGAUUUGUAUUUAUUUGUCGCAGAUGGAAGUGGUGUCCCUCCUGGAACUGUGCCUAAAAUAUGUAAACAUGUCAAGGAUCUGGUAUGGUAUGUAUGAAUGUAUUCUUCAGUAACAUAUAAAUCAUAGACAACAUUUUAGUAAGUUGAUUUCUUUUACAAAUACUUUUUGUUUUGGUUAUUCAAAGCAACAUUUCACCAAACGCCAUGUAACAGAAAACAUUAAUUGUUUCAUUGUGUUGCAUUGUU